ACCAACAGAGCAGAGUGGCACAGAAAUGCCACGACAGCCACACCACAGAGGGUCUGAAUCCCCUGGUUCCACGCCUGCUGAACCCCCACUAACUCACUCCAGCCUCACUAGCUCGAUCCCCAGGACAGCAAGCUAACUCAAUACUCACAAACACACACCAGAGCCAUUCUCUUCCACCCCGGCCAAGUCACACCAGCCACACAAACCCACUCCUCACUAACUGCAGAGCCUGCCAGCAUGUUCACCCCCCGCUGUGUGUUAAUCAUGUGAGAUUUGUCUGUGUCAUAUCACUGGACUUCUGAAAGGCACUGCUGAAUUUGGUUUUGGAUGUUAACAUCGCCUCAUGGUGUCUGAAUCAGCACACAUGGGUACAUUCCACUGGGCUGCAGCCAAGAGAAAUAAACUUGAGAAAUAUCCCUUAGAUAAACUGAUCUCACCCUGCACUGGCCGCUGCAGGGAUAUGUCAGAGUGUGCAGAACCAAGCAGGUUAGUGAAGCCGUGUGAACUGCUCCAGUUGUUCUGUAGCUAAAGCUUCCAGACAGGCAUUAAGAAAGAGAGAAGAUACUGCAUGGAUCACAAACACAGCACCACCGUGGAGUCAGUCUGAACCCUGCAUUGAUGGAUCUUGGCUGAACUACAGCUGUGCACAAGAGCAAUGUCUGUCUUAACAGUAGAUAACAGCAACAGAGCGAACCUUAGUUAGCUGCUGAUCUUGAAACUCAUCAGAUGAUGUCACCAAAAUGAAGAAAAAAGAUUCUAGGAUCACCACGCCAUCGCGGGUCAUAAAUGGCUGAUGCUGAAAUGUUUUGUUGUGUAAACUCACUAUUGCAGCCCCAGUUUGUCUUGAAAGUUUCCCACAUCAAGCAAAAGGCAGCAUGCUCACACAACACCUAUUGACAGAUGUUUGAAACUGUAAAGUGAUUUCAGGUGCUCUGGGGGUAGAUCGGAAUGGUUUCUUUGCAGAGACUACUUUUUGAGUGCCUGGUUUGAAGAAAGCCUGAUGGAUCAGGAUCCUCGAGGACCAUCGUAUGUUUUUUUAUGUAAAAACUAGACCCUGCUUGGUAGCAUUUGUGUUGACACUAAACUACAAAUAAUAUUUUUUAUUUUUUUAAUGGUGACAUAUGCACUAGUUGAUAUGGGCAGCAUUGUCCUUAUGAAGAUGCUGUUUUUGGAAAGUGCUGGACAGAGUAUUGUAGUGUCAUUAUUUAUUAGUUAUGUACUAUUGGUUAAAAGCUCGCUAUAAAUCUGUUUGGUUUCAUUUGAACGGCACUUUCUUAAGUUUUAAUUUAUAUAUAUAAAUAUUUUCUUCUAGGUUUAUUUUGUAAAACUUUUUUAACCUUUUAUUUUUUUAAGUGUGACAAAUAUAUUAACCGUCUUGCAUUCCCAAACGGUUAUAAAUUUCUGUUAUUUAUUUUAACAUUACAUUUUUUCUUUCUGUUAUGAGCUGUACUGUAAUAAAUACAAAGCUUGAAUUGCGGUUCUCCUGGCUUCUUGACAUAAAACAAUUUAACCUUCA